UGUAAGCGUAUACCAAAGUUGUUGCAGUUAAAACGCUCGUAGUCGGAACUUGGCCGUGUCGGAUGUGUGCACGUCGUGUGCGCGCAUUGCAGAUAUGGCUUUUGUGGUUUUUGCGUGCGAUGAGGCACGUUUAUUCGUGAACGUCGUUUCGCAGCCACUUUUUACUGUGAGAAAAUCAGAGUGCUCAAAGCAGGCAUUUGCCGUGAAUGUAUUAGCAUGGAAUAAUAGAAUAGGACUCGGUUCUAUUUUGUUGGUUUGUUGGGACUGAGUAAUGAUUAAGAGGGACAGUUGGGGGCAUUUGUAUUUCGGUGCUAGAGGUGAAAUUCUUAGAUUACCGAAAGACAAACUGCUGCGAAAGCGUCUGCCAAGGAUGUUUUCAUUGA
rnacentral:rRNA from 1 species